GUCAAAACGACUCUCGGCAACGGAUAUCUCGGCUCUCGCAUCGAUGAAGAACGUAGCGAAAUGCGAUACUUGGUGUGAAUUGCAGAAUCCCGUGAACCAUCGAGUCUUUGAGCGCAAGUUGCGCCCGAAGCCUUUAGGCCGAGGGCACGUCUGCCUGGGCGUCA
rnacentral:rRNA from 1 species